AAGUUGGAGUGAAUUGAGAAAUAUAAACACAUAUUAAUUUCCUCUAUAUUCUGGAAAAGUUGUUAGUGUUGUUCUUAUUCCUGUGGAAUUUUGAUCCCUUCAAAAGUCUUUCCUAAAAUCUGGGAGUUUACUGUUCGAUUGGUUGCUGCUUUGUUUUUUGAUUACUUUUAUUUACUCAUAGGUUUUAUUCCUUGCUGAAUUCCAGUACCGAUCCUCAUCCCAAUUCUGAGAAGUUAUAAGCAUUUAUGUGCAGUCGAGAUAAUGAAAAGAUAGUGUUACAUCAUUUAUUCGUUUCAAUUCAUGUUGUAAUCUAAUUUAUUCUCUUAAAAUUUUCUGAUAUUUGUACUAAAACAUGUAUAAUCUGGACUGUGAUGGGAUUGUAUACUUUAUUUACAUAGGUCCAGCAGACUUUAUAGUAGAGUGAUCAAAAAUGAGCUUAUUGUUUUAUAAUCUGUGUUAUAUGUUAGGAAUUUGAUAACUGAAUAUAUAUAAUACUCUGAAUGAUGAGUAUUCUAAGCUAUCUCUUCAAACGUUUGGGUUAAAUCUGAUGCAAAAUUAUUUCUAGUGUCAUCUUUGCAAAUAUUAUUGGCAUAUUUUCUAACGCUCAGGUAUAUGUUUUGUUUUAUAAUUGUGGUAUAAUCAGAAACUGAAAAGUUGUUAUCCUAUAUGGACUUGUUAGUCCAAUAACCAUUGGCCCAAUUAGAAGGCCCAGCAACGACCAAUUAUAAUGUGGUACUCCACGUUCCUAGACUGACUAGAAAUAAAAACCCAAAUCAGUCAUGAACAAGGCCCAAUAACUGCCAGUUAUGGCAUAAACAACGCAGGCUCCUGGGUUAGUCAAACGAAACCCAAUGUAUAGUUAGCCAUGAAUGAGGCUAAAAUAUAAGUAUUGAAAUUCCCAAAACCUUUGAGUAAAUGACUAGGAUAUUUUAGAUCCAAGAAUAAUAGAAAUUUAACAUGCUUUAGGAUGCCCACAUAAAAUCAAGUGAGCUUUGUUAACUAAGUCAAACACCACGAUGCUCCUUAAAUUGAUAAAAUAUUUAGAAAAUUGGAAGUGCCGUAUAGCAAAUUUCACGGCAUCCCAUGAAUUUUUAAGACAUAGUUGCCAUAGGCGCGAAUUUAUUAAUAAAAUAUCUUCCUAAACUCGGGUGCAUUUAUUUUAUCCGAAUCCGAAUCUCAUUGGAGUUGAAAUAUAUCUAAAAACUGUGUGUGCAUUUAUGUGACGCGAUU
rnacentral:lncRNA from 1 species